rnacentral:rRNA from 1 species
UACGUAGGGAGCAAGCGUUAUCCGGAUUUAUUGGGUGUAAAGGGUGCGUAGACGGGAUAACAAGUUAGUUGUGAAAUCCCUCAGCUUAACUGAGGAACUGCAACUAAAACUAUUAUUCUUGAGUGCUGGAGAGGAAAGUGGAAUUCCUAGUGUAGCGGUGAAAUGCGUAGAUAUUAGGAGGAACACCAGUGGCGAAGGCGACUUUCUGGACAGUAACUGACGUUGAGGCACGAAAGUGCGGGGAUCAAACAGG